rnacentral:rRNA from 1 species
CAAUAUCGACUUAGUCGAAUAAAAUUCUAGGUAGAAUUAUGAUAAUGACAUUAUCUGCCUAUGUGUCUUGACCAAAUUACGUGCCAGCUGUCGCGGUAAUACGUAAAAGACUAGUGUUAUUCAUCUUUAAUAGGUUUAAAGGGUACCUAGACGGUAAAUCAAGCCAUGCAAUGGGACUAAUUUACUAGAGUUAUUUGUGAGGGGGCUCUAAGGUACUGCUGGUGUACUAGAGAUGAAAUUCUUUGAUACCUUUUUUCGAAAGAAAAAUAACGGCACAGAUAUAGGUGAAAACAUCCCCUUAUGUAAUAACUGACGUUGAAGGACGAAGGCUUUUGAUCGCGAACAGGAUUAGAUACCCUAAUAGUAAAAGCAGAAAAUGAUGAAUGUCAUAGAUUAGAUAUAUGAUUUAUUCUAUAAACGAAAGUGUAAGCAUUCCACCUCAAGAGUAAUUUGGCAACAUUGGAACUGAAAUCAUUAGACCGUUUCUGAAACCAGUAGUGAAGUAUGUUGUUUAAUUUGAUAAUCCUCAAAAAACCUUACCACAAUUUGAAUA